rnacentral:rRNA from 1 species
CCUACGUGUGGCAGCAGUGAGGAAUAUUGGUCAAUGGGCGCGAGCCUGAACCAGCCAAGUCGCGUGAAGGAUGACUGCCCUACGGGUUGUAAACUUCUUUUAUAAAGGAAUAAAGUGAGGCACGUGUGCCUUUUUGUAUGUACUUUAUGAAUAAGGAUCGGCUAACUCCGUGCCAGCAGCCGCGGUAAUACGGAGGAUCCGAGCGUUCUCCGGAUUUAUUGGGUUUAAAGGGAGCGUAGAUGGGUUGUUAAGUCAGCUGUGAAAGUUUGCGGCUCAACCUUAAAAUUGCAAUUGAUACUGGCAGCCGUGAGUACAGUUGAGGCAGGCGGAAUUCGUGGUGUAGCGGUGAAAUGCUUAGAUAUCACGAAGAACUCCGAUUGCGAAGGCAGCUUGCUAAGCUGCCACUGACAUUGAUGCUCGAAAGUGUGGGGAUCAAACAGGAUUAGAUACCCUGGUAGUC